rnacentral:rRNA from 1 species
CGCAGCCGCGGUAAUUCCAGCUUCAAUAGCGUAUAUUAAAGUUGUUGCAGUUAAAAAGCUCGUAGUUGAAUUUUAGGCUUGACCGGGCGGUCCGUCUCUGGCGAGUACUGUCCUGUUGUCGGGUCUAUCCUUCUGGUGAGCCGGUAUGUCCUUAAUUGGGUGUGUCGGGGAACCAGGACCAUUACCUUGAAAAAAAUUGAGUGUUUAAAGCGGGCUUUUGCUUGAAUAGAUUAGCAUGGAAUAAUAGAAUAGGACGUUGGUUCUAUUUUGUUGGUCUAGGACCACCGUAAUGAUUAAUAGGGAUAGUUGGGGGCAUUAGUAUUCAAUUGUCAGAGGUGAAAUUCUUGGAUUUAUUGAAGACUAACUACUGCGAAAGCAUUUGCCAAGGAUGUUUUCAUUAAUCAAGAACGAAAGUUAGGGAUCGAAGACGAUCAGAUACCGUCGUAGUCUUAACCAUAAACUAUGCCGACUAGGAAUCGGGCGACGUUAUUUUCAUGACUCGCUCGGCGCCUUAGUGGGA